rnacentral:lncRNA from 1 species
AUGCAGAAGUUGGAAAACUCAGGACAGAAAACUCCAGGAUAAGUCGGAGAGUCAGCGAUAUGGAGUAAAUCCAUCACUAGGAGAACACCUUUCUCUUCCAGAAUUGCUGAUGAAUCAUUAGGUAAAGCCGGGGCCACCGGCAGAGUGGCCUUCUGGCAGAUGGCUGGGGCUUGGGAAAUGCACAUCUUCUCUCGGCUCAGCUAUGUGGUUCUUCUUUCUUCAAGAAGCCAAAGUACUGGGUGUACCCCACAAAGUCACAACUGGGCACAGACGGGAAAGGCUGGCUGUCAGCACCUUGCUGGCCAUGGUCGUGGACCCCAGAGUGAGCUGACAAAGCAGUCAGUCCAAGCAUGGCUGCAGGAGCGCCAGAAGGCGCUGGGUGCUAACACUUAGGAGGCAGCAUGGACAGUGGAGGGCUAUAGAGGAGGCCCCACAUGAGGGACAGAAUGAGGGUCCACUGGCUGCCUGCACUGCCUGAUGCUCCUGCUAUGGCGGCAGAAGGCCAGGCCCCUAGCAGGGCUGCUGCUGUGUGGAUUCUGAUGCCACUAAUGACUUAUCGUGCAUCUGGGCCUCUGACUCUGGGUGCCUCUUAGGGCUGAGAUAAGGAUGAGGGGAGAGAACAAAUGGGAAAUGCCCAGGCUCACUCUCAGCACCAAGUGGUCUGUGCAGCCCAGGAGCCUGGAGGCAAGCCCUCGCAGGAGCCCAAGGGAUCCAAACUGAAGCACUGUUUUCUGACAUCUAGUAUUUAAACCUAACAUUUUGCAUGAAUUUAUUUUCCACCACACGCUUGUAUGAAUAAAAACAGAUGACUUCCCCUCCUAAUUAAGCAGAACUGACAUGUACUGGUGGCUCCUGGCCCAUGGCCCACACUGAGGAGGAACAACAAUAACGUUAGCAUGAAAGGUGAUAAUUGGUCCUUUUAGAAAGCUGUGGAAGUGGGCACUGGAAGACGUGUUUGCCUCAGCUGCAGAUGGGUGCGACAUAUCAAGGGAGCCCUCCUGGCCCGUCCUGCCCUGUACCAAGUUUCACCUGAUGCUCACUCUCCCACAUCUUCUGCUUCAGGAAAGCCCAGCAUGCCUCGGUCUGGGAAGGCAGCCUAUUAUUCCAGCCCCAUAACCUCUCCUCUUGCCACUCCAUGUCCCCACCCACUCCCACCUGGACACUUACAGGACUCCAGCACUGCCUCCUCCAAGAAGCCUUCCUGGACUCCGUCAGCCCACAUUGGGCUUGUUAACACUGAUUAUCUGAAAAAUUUGGGGUAUCACCUCAUGACAUGCUGUGCUAUAUUCCAUCUGAGCACCCAUGGCUUCUCUGCAGACUUAGCCCCAGCUGCAGCCCCCUGUCUGCCCCAUCUGUUUCAUCAUCUCCUCACCCAGUUUCUGGGUGCUCCUGAUAAUGUUCUGUUUGUUAGGCUGGGCCCUGAGAAGGUACCCAGAAAGCCUUAAGCAUUCAUGGAAAUGAGCCCACAGGCUGUGUGAUCCAGCAGACAAGCUGAUCGAGCACGAGAGUGGUCCACAAGAGCAGCCGUGGCACAGCCAGGCUUUAACCUCCUUGUGCUUGGGCUCGUGCUCCGCUGAACCAUGGAAGUCUUGUGAUAGAGUAAGGACCGGCUGGUGUGGGAGGCAAGAGGAGGAUGGGUACACAUGUUGCCAUUAGUCAGCCUUGUCUUAGCCACCAAAUCGGGCCUCCUUCAUGAGAGAGUCUAAUGUUUUAUACUCCCAGUGUGGGGAUGAGCGGCUGAUGGGCUGGGGAGGGAGAGGGAGCCUGGGGUUCUCUUUCGUCCUAGCUGGGAAUCCUGACCGGCUGCUAGGCCCACUUCAGCAUCUAUAAAACAAGGUAUGUCGCUGGUCUUUGGGCUGCUGGAAGGAAUAGUGAUUUCACAUAAGAGAGGCACCACCUGGCCCCGGAUAGCAGGUCCUUCAGUUUUGUCUCAAGGUGGCUGAGGACGCCUGGGGGUGUCCCAGGAGGGAUGCUGAGGCCAGGUCUGGGGCAUGGAGAAAGUUGGGCAGGUGUA